UCCAAUAGCGGAGGAAAAGAAACCAACCGGGAUUGCCUUAGUAACGGCGAGUGAAGCGGCAAAAGCUCAAAUUUGAAAUCUGGUACCUUUGGUGCCCGAGUUGUAAUUUGGAGAGGGCAACUUUGGGACCGUUCCUUGUCUAUGUUCCUUGGAACAGGACGUCAUAGAGGGUGAGAAUCCCGUGUGGCGAGGAGUGCGGUUCUAUGUAAAGUGCCUUCGAAGAGUCGAGUUGUUUGGGAAUGCAGCUCUAAGUGGGUGGUAAAUUCCAUCUAAAGCUAAAUAUUGGCGAGAGACCGAUAGCGAACAAGUACAGUGAUGGAAAGAUGAAAAGAACUUUGAAAAGAGAGUGAAAAAGUACGUGAAAUUGUUGAAAGGGAAGGGCAUUUGAUCAGACAUGGUGUUUUGCGCCCUCUGCUCCUUGUGGGUGGGGGAAUCUCGCAGUUCACUGGGCCAGCAUCAGUUUUGGUGGCAGGAUAAAUCCGUAGGAAUGUAACUUGCUUCGGGAAGUAUUAUAGCCUAUGGGAAUACUGCCAGCUGGGACUGAGGACUGCGACGUAAGUCAAGGAUGCUGGCAUAAUGGUUAUAUGCCGCCCGUCUUGAAA
rnacentral:rRNA from 1 species